UACGAAGGGGGCUAGCGUUGCUCGGAAUCACUGGGCGUAAAGGGUGCGUAGGCGGGUCUUUAAGUCAGGGGUGAAAUCCCGGAGCUCAACUCCGGAACUGCCUUUGAUACUGGUAGCCUAGAGAUCGGAAGAGGUGAGUGGAAUUCCCAGUGUAGAGGUGAAAUUCGUAGAUAUUGGGAAGAACACCAGUGGCGAAGGCGGCUCACUGGUCCGAUACUGACGCUGAGGUGCGAAAGCGUGGGGAGCAAACAGG
rnacentral:rRNA from 1 species